rnacentral:rRNA from 1 species
GAAGCGGCAACAGCUCAAAUUUGAAAUCUGGCGCAAGCCCGAGUUGUAAUUUGGAGAGGAUGCUUCAGGGCAGCGGCCGGUCUAAGUUCCUUGGAACGGGACGUCAUAGAGGGUGAGAACCCCGUAUGCGACCGGUUGGCACCCGUCACGUAGCUCCUUCGACGAGUCGAGUUGUUUGGGAAUGCAGCUCUAAAUGGGAGGUAAAUUUCUUCUAAAGCUAAAUAUUGGCCAGAGACCGAUAGCGCACAAGUAGAGUGAUCGAAAGAUGAAAAGCACUUUGGAAAGAGAGUUAAAAAGCACGUGAAAUUGUUGAAAGGGAAGCGCAGGCAACCAGACUUGCUGGCGGUGUUCCGCCGGUCUUCUGACCGGUCUACUCGCCGCCGGCAGGCCAGCAUCAUCUGGGCGCGCCGGACAAAGGCGCGGGGAAUGUGGCUCCUCGGAGCGUUAUAGCCCCGCGCACAAUACGGCGCCGCUCGGGUGAGGUCCGCGCUUCGGCUAGGAUGCUGGCGUAAUGGUUGUCUGCGGCCCGUCUUGAAACACGGACCAAGGAGUCUAACAUCUAUGCGAGUGUUCGGGUGUCAAACCCUGACGCGUAAUGAAAGUGAACGGAGGUGGGAAGCGCAAGCUGCACCAUCGACCGAUCCUGAUGUCUUCGGAUGGAUUUGAGUAAGAGCAUAGCUGUUGGGACCCGAAAGAUGGUGAACUAUGCCUGAAUAGGGUGAAGCCAGAGGAAACUCUGGUGGA